GCGCCAGUGCAGUUGCCAUACCAUGCGGUGAUACAGCCCGACAGGAUUUGUCAUGGUUCCACCUGUCACCAGACGACGGCAAAGACCGUCCUAGAGACACUAACGACGCUCAGCAAGCUUCUGCCUAAACAUGGACCAAGCAGUUAUCACCCAGAUCAAGAAUCUUCUAAGGAGCACUGCUGGGGCGGCAGCAAGAACAACUCUCCCAAAUAUCAAAGACCCUCCGGGCACUUACCAACUCCCUCCAACCACAGUCCAACCCAGGUGGAGCCAAUGUCCAAGUCUCAUCGCCCAGUGCUACAGGCGUCUCCGUAGUUCCUCCAGGGAGCCUGCAGUGGGAACCUAAGAUCCCAGCCCCCGAGAGGUAUGACGGCCAACCGGGAGGAUGCAAGGGGUUCCUCGCUCAGUGUUCUCUGGUGUUCGACCUACAGUCCUCCUCGUUCCACACAGAUCGGGCCAUGAUCUCCUACAUCUCUCUACUCUCGGUACUGCCUAAAUCUCUUCUCAUCUGGUCUGGGCUGAAUUACAAUCCUUUGUGGACCUGCCUUUACUGAUGAAGGCCAUCACUUCUUGCCUCUCCUCAUGGUCUGUUUCCUGCCCUCAUCAGCAUGGUCUGUUUCCAGUCCUCAUCAACAUUAGCAAAGUAUCUGGCAUCUGCCCAGAUGUCUGCCUUCAUGAACUUUUUAAAAGGCUUUACGCAGGCACAUAUUUACUGUAACGUUGACAUGGAGCUAAGCUACGUUACAGUACUCUAGUACAAUAAAAUUGUGCAAUGUUUUAUUUAGUAUCCAGUUAUUUUGCUGAGUGCAAGUUGGUGCCGA